UAAGAAUAUUGGACAAUGGGGGAAACCCUGAUCCAGCUACGCCGCGUGAGUGAAGAAGGCCUUCGGGUUGUAAAGCUCUUUUAGUCGUGACGAUGAUGACGGUAGCGACAGAAAAAGCACCGGCUAACUUCGUGCCAGCAGCCGCGGUAAUACGAAGGGUGCAAGCGUUGUUCGGAUUUACUGGGCGUAAAGCGUCCGUAGGUGGUUUGUUAAGUCAGGGGUGAAAUCCCAGGGCCCAACCCUGGAACUGCCCUUGAUACUGGCAAGCUGGAACACGGAAGAGGAAGAUAGAAUUUGUGGUGUAGGGGUGAAAUCCGUAGAUAUCACAAGGAAUACCAAUGGCGAAGGCAGUCUUCUGGUCCGUUGCUGACACUGAGGGACGAAAGCGUGGGUAGCAAAC
rnacentral:rRNA from 1 species